GACGAACGCUGGCGGCGUGCUUAACACAUGCAAGUCGAACGGAAAGGCCCUGCUUUUGUGGGGUGCUCGAGUGGCGAACGGGUGAGUAACACGUGAGUAACCUGCCCUUGACUUUGGGAUAACUUCAGGAAACUGGGGCUAAUACCGGAUAGGAGCUCCUGCUGCAUGGUGGGGGUUGGAAAGUUUCGGCGGUAGGGGAUGGACUCGCGGCUUAUCAGCUUGUUGGUGGGGUAGUGGCUUACCAAGGCUUUGACGGGUAGCCGGCCUGGGAGGGUGACCGGCCACAGUGGGACUGAGAUAGGGCCCAGACUCCUACGGGAGGCAGAGGUGGGGAAUAUUACACAAUGGGCGGGAGCCUGAUGCAGCAGCGCCGCGGGCGGGAUGACGGCCUGCGGGCUGUGAACCGCAUUCGCUUGUGACGAAGCGUGAGUGACGGUAAUAGAUGAAGAAGCACCGGCUAACUACGUG
rnacentral:rRNA from 1 species